rnacentral:rRNA from 1 species
AUUGAACGCUGGCGGCAGGCCUAACACAUGCAAGUCGAACGAGAGGCGGACGGGUGAGUAAUGUAUGGGAAUCUGCCUGAUGGAGGGGGAUAACUACUGGGAACGGUAGCUAAUAACGCCUACCAUCAGAUGGGCCCGGGUGGGAUUUGCUUGUUGGUGGGGUAACGGCUCACCAAGGCGACGAUCCCUAGCUGGUCUGAGAGGAUGACCAGCCACACUGGAACGGAGACACGGUCCAGACUCCUACGGGAGGCAGCAGUGGGGAAUAUUGCACAAUGGGCGCAAGCCUGAUGCAGCCAUGCCGCGUGUAUGAAGAAGGCCUUCGGGUUGUAAAGUACUUUCAGCGGGGAGGCGUUACCCGCAGAAGAAGCACCGGCUAACUCCGUGCCAGCAGCCGCGGUAAUUC